rnacentral:rRNA from 1 species
GAUGAACGCUAGCGGCAGGCUUAACACAUGCAAGUCGAGGGGCAGCAUACCCGGUGACGGGUGAUGGCGACCGGCGUAAGGGUGAGUAACGCGUGAGCAACAUACCCGUAUCAGUGGGAUAAUACAGGGAAACUUGUUCUAAUAUCACAUAAUAUUAUACAGAGGCAUCUUUGUAUAAUUAAAGUUCAGGCGGAUACGGAAUGGCUCGCGUGACAUUAGCUAGAUGGUAGGGUAAAGGCCUACCAUGGCUAUGAUGUCUAGGGGUUCUGAGAGGGAGGUCCCCCACACUGGAACUGAGACACGGUCCAGACUCCUACGGGAGGCAGCAGUGAGGAAUAUUGGACAAUGGAUGAAAAUCUGAUCCAGCCAUGCCGCGUGCAGGAAGGCGGCCCUAUGGGUUGUAAACUGCUUUUGUACGGGAGCAAUAAGGUCUACGAGUAGAUUGAUGAGAGUACUGUACGAAUAAGCAUCGGCUAACU